rnacentral:rRNA from 1 species
GACGAACGCUGGCGGCGUGCUUAACACAUGCAAGUCGAACGGAAAGGCCCUGCUUUUGUGGGGUGCUCGAGUGGCGAACGGGUGAGUAACACGUGAGUAACCUGCCCUUGACUUUGGGAUAACUUCAGGAAACUGGGGCUAAUACCGGAUAUGAGCUCCUGCUGCAUGGUGGGGGUUGGAAAGUUUCGGCGGUUGGGGAUGGACUCGCGGCUUAUCAGCUUGUUGGUGGGGUAGUGGCUUACCAAGGCUUUGACGGGUAGCCGGCCUGAGAGGGUGACCGGCCACAUUGGGACGGAGAUACGGCCCAGACUCCUACGGGAGGCAGCAGUGGGGAAUAUUGCACAAUGGGCGGAAGCCUGAUGCAGCAACGCCGCGUGCGGGAUGACGGCCUUCGGGUGGUAAACCGCUUUCGCCUGUGACGAAGCGUGAGUGACGGUAAUGGGGAAAGAAGCACCGGCUAACUACGU